CUUCCAAAGUUUGCAAAUUUUGUAUACUUUUGUAUUGCAAUUUUCACAGGCAAUACAAAAGUAUACAGAAUUUGCAAACUUUGGAA